rnacentral:rRNA from 1 species
UGCAAGUCGAACGGUACAGGUUAAGCUGACGAGUGGCGAACGGGUGAGUAAUAUAUCGGAACGUGCCCAGUCGUGGGGGGAUAACGUAGCGAAACGUACGCUAAUACCGCAUACGAUCUAUGGAUGAAAGCGGGGGAUCGCAAGACCUCGCGCGAUUGGAGCGGCCGAUAUCAGAUUAGGUAGUUGGUGGGGUAAAAGCCCACCAAGCCAACGAUCUGUAGCUGGUCUGAGAGGACGACCAGCCACACUGGAACUGAGACACGGUCCAGACUCCUACGGGAGGCAGCAGUGGGGAAUUUUGGACAAUGGGCGCAAGCCUGAUCCAGCAAUGCCGCGUGCAGGACGAAGGCCUUCGGGUUGUAAACUGCUUUUGUACGGAACGAAACGGUCUGAGUUAAUACCUCGGGCUAAUGACGGUACCGUAAGAAUAAGCACC